rnacentral:rRNA from 1 species
CUCUGUGACUCCUACGGGGAGGCAGCAGUGGGGAAUAUUGCACAAUGGGGGAAACCCUGAUGCAGCCAUGCCGCGUGUGUGAAGAAGGCCUUCGGGUUGUAAAGCACUUUCAGUAGGGAGGAAGGUAGUGUAGUUAACACCUGCACUAUUUGACGUUACCUACAGAAGAAAGCACCGGCUAACUCCGUGCCAGUAGCCGCGGUAAUACGGAGGGUGCGAGCGUUAAUCGGAAUUACUGGGCGUAAAGCGCAUGCAGGCGGCCUGUUAAGUCAGAUGUGAAAGCCCGGGGCUUAACCUCGGAAUUGCAUUUGAAACUGGCAGGCUAGAGUCUUGUAGAGGGGGGUAGGAAUUUCAGGUGUAGCGGUGAAAUGCGUAGAGAUCUGAAGGAAUACCAGUGGCGAAGGCGGCCCCCUGGACAAAGACUGACGCUCAGAUGCGAAAGCGUGGGGAGCAAACAGGAUUAGAUACCCUGGUAG